CAAGUGGCAGCUACCGUUACGUUGCAUUGGAUUCGUUGUAUUCGUCGAUCAGGGACGAUCAUGACCAAUGGGUGAUCAACGGCGGUGAUAAAAUUUCUAAACCCAAAAUGGUUUCGUUAAGUUGCCCCUCGAUCGGGCUCUGCGAGUCCUAACUGUAAUACCCGAUCCUAUUAUGAAAUUAUUUAUGUAAAACUUUCUAAAUUCAUUCGUAAGAAUUGGGUUUAUAUUAGAAUUAGAUUGUUAAUCAAAGAGGUUGAGUUCAUUAGAAUUUCUCUGGUUUAAGUAUAGAUAAUGUUGUUUGUAAAAUAACUUUAGAUAUACUUAGUAGCUCAACUGGUUAACAAGCCAACAUUUGAGUUCAUUGAUUAAUUUUCAAGUCUCAUAUAAAGCAAUCCCUUUAUUUUAUUUUCAUUUUUUUCUGCCCAGUGAGAACUACGUCGUUUUAAGAUUUGGGUGAAUCUGGUCAUCGUCGUCGUCUUCCUUAUCUCCUCCGACCAGCGUUUUGUUUGACCCGACAAGUUUCGGCAUCCGACAAACAAUCGAUUUGGAAUCACAAUGACUUUUGAAUGCCGCCUUCAAGUCGAUGUGUGAUUUAACUCGAGUUUAUGGCUUCUACCCUAAUCAAUCCAUGUGAAAUCCAUCUAUUGAAUUUGUGUCCCUUUCUCCCCGUUAUUGGAUCUUCCGACGCCGAACUGCAAACCUAGGUGUCGAUGCCUCGAAUCAAGACCAAACUGUCGCUCGUGGGAAAUCUUCUCGCUAUUUAAAGCCGUCCAGUGUUAGUAUUGAACAGAGGCAUGCCCGAAACUAUUUCCCUCUUUCUCCGACGUCGAUUUGCGUCGACAAGUUCUAGACCAACCCAAGACUUUUAAAUCCCUCUGCUGACUUCGUAUUAUCGAGACGAAACUUUGAUUCACGUGUAUUUGGUAAAUAUCCAGUCUAUUCCUUGGACUUCCAUACUUCUGAUUUAGUACCUAACCUGUGUUAUUCUGUCACCACAGUUCGUAACUUUUAAGUUGUCAAUCGCGGCCCAAUACUUUCCAGCUAUUGUAGUUUGGCCCAACAAUGUUUAGUUAACCCAUAAUUGAUCCGUUCUUGGACAUUUGACCGUAUUUCGAGUCAACCUGCUUAAUUUCAGGUAGGUUGGUUUAAGGGGAUAGUAUCUUCCAUUUUAAAUGUUUAUGUUUUACUUGUGCUAUUUAUGCUUCUUUGAAUUACAUGAAUAAUACUUGGAUUUUAAACUUUCUAAAUGCAUUAUAUGUUACAACAUGACAUGUUAGUUAUAUGUGAUCCACAUACUAUUCUAUUAUACCCUAAGUGAUAUAUUUCUGAUAUGAUAUAUUACAUGUAAUUGUUCAGUUGAACAAGUUCUGUUACAAGGGUAAUAUUUGUAUUGAUUGAUCACCUAGUUAGGGCCCGUAUGCCGGUGAUUGUGCUUAUUGCACUUUUUGUACGCGGUGGGCCUUGGUAAGCGCCACAACUAACUAUUGUCGUGGGCUUUGGUAAGCACCACACUAACUCUACGCGGGCCAUUUUAGUGUCACUAACAUGUAUAUGGGUCGUCAGCGUAUGUGAGCCUGGAUCCAAUUAAAAUACGGAAGUUAGAGUCAGAAUUGUACCACGUGUUUUACAUGCUAUAUGGUUGUCUUUUCCAAUGAUUUCCAAUACUGGUAUCUAUAUGAUAACUUCGGAAGACUGACCCCGAGCCACCCACCAGUUCUUGACAGGUUAUAUGCUAUUAGAAGAAUUAAUAGAGGAUCUGCUCAUCUGCCGCCAGACCGAAGUUGGGAUGUUGUGGAGACUGUGUAUUUCUGUGAUUUGUUUUAAAGAUGAGUCCAUUCACUUUUUUGUCCUAUGUUUAAACUUUUUGAACUAAAUUUAUGAUAAUUAAUUAGUCUAAACAAAUAAGCAUAAGAGCAUAAGUUCAAAUACUAUUAGUCGGAUUAUUAAAUCCUCAAAAUUUUACCUAUAAUUUAGUACUCUAGACCAGAAAACAAGAUAGCCGGGACUUUCAAUGGGUCCCUCUAGUUCCGACACGAUCAAGCACUAAGUCGAACUCAAAAUUACCCUAAGCCAAACUCGUAAAAAUUGUAAAUAUACACCCGAAAUUAAUGAUCCGGAUCAAAACUAAAGUGAGCCAGGACUCCCCCGGGCCACCCCUUGGUUCCGCCCCUGCCUGUAGCCUGAUUUUUGCUUUAAAAAUUCUGCAAAAACGGGCCUGAUAAUCUGUAACGAGGUAAAAUGGGUGACCGCACCCGACUCUAACACAUCAAAAUCUCAUUAUCAAAAUAUCAACUAUUUAAAUUUAACUCAUUCAAUUAUUGGUUAGACCGCAUACCUGACCCAGAAUUCCCACCCACAUCGUAUAUGUGAUCCAUUAUGUAUCCACUUGACCACUAUGUUUGCAACUAUAUUUUGUUAGGUGAAUAAAAAGACAAAACGACUACAUAUUAUGCACGUUUCAGCCGGUGAGCAAAGAGGAGGUUACAACCACUAACCCAAAAGAAGAAAGUGGAAUAUUUUUCAAAUCAUUAUGUUAAGAGAACUAGCAAUUUUUCAAAAUUAUAAAAGAUGACGUGUAAAAAAUAAUUAUUUUCUAAGUCGCCCGUCACAAAAUUGUUGAUAUAAUUUAAUUACGAUUAAUUAACUAAUUUUUUAUAUAUAUUACAUACUAUAUAUACGAUCAAAUUAUCAGUUAGAAACUCAUCAUGAAUUUUAGUAUGUAACUAGAGAUAACAAGCUUUAAAUUUUUUAUAGGCUAAUAGUAGUAACUUUGAAAUUCUAAGAUUGAAGCAUUUAAAUGAUAAUUUUUUAACUGUUCCCUCCUUUUCUUAUUUCCACGUUUUUAGGUGAAGAAAACGACAAAAUAACCAUGACCGUCGGAUGAGAAACUGGAUAUGUAAAUAUUACUUAUGGCAAAGUCCCAAAAACCACUAUAUAUAGCCACUACAAAUAACGAACACAAUCCAGCAAGCAAAUAAGUGAGUAACUAACUCAUCAGCUAGCUCCACAUCUCUCACCUUAUAUAGGGCAACAUCGAGCCAUGACCAUGACCAUGAACACCUCCGGCCGCAGCGGCGGGGGGGCCCCGCCCGCAGCGGCGGUGGCCUAUCCACCACCGUUACAUCAUCGCCAUUCACCGCCACCACCACUUCCACCACCUUCAUUGCCCUCCUCUUUGCACUCGUCAUCUCCGUCGUAAGCUAUGCCAACCUCAAGAAACGAUCCUCGAACCCGAAACCGGCCUCAAUGGGUACUAGUGCUAACGCCUCUAAAGGAGCAGGUAGCAUUAUUGACAAUGCUAAGAAUCUCAAGCCGAUGCUCCCUCCAAGCCCGCCAUCCUGGCCGGUGGUCGGGAACAUUCCGGAGCUCUUGAUGAAAAAGCCGUGGUUUCGUUGGGUGCACCAGCUGAUGAAGGAGAUGAACACGGACAUCUGCCUGAUCCGCCUGGGCGGGUUCAACCUUAUACCCGUAUUGGACCCUGCCAUUGCCAGGGAGUUCCUGAAGAAGCAGGACGCCAUCUUCGCGGACCGACCCCACCAGGUGGGCAGCCAUGCCAUGAGCGGACGCUACCUAGACACUGACCACGAUAGCCACGCCUUACAACGACCAGUGGCGCAAGAUGAGGAAGGUGAUGACCUCAGAGAUAGUCUCCCCGGCCCGACUCAAGUGGCUCCACCAGAAGCGUGUCGAGGAGGCCAACAACCUGGUGUUCUACGUCCACAACCAAAGCAUGGCUGGCAAGAGCGUCGACCUGAGGGUGGCCACCCAACAUUACUGCGGGAACGUGAUAAGGAAGAUGAUGUUCAGCAGGAGGUUCUUCGGCGAGCCAACCCUCGACGGUGGGCCCGGUCCUAAGGAGGUCGAGCACGUGAAAGCGAUAUUCCUCGCGUUGAAGUACGUGUAUUCGUUCUGCUUGUCGGAUUACGUGCCGUUCCUCAGAGGGAUGAACAUCGACGGCCAGGAGAAGUUUGCGAAGGAAGCGAACAAGACGAUUAGGGAUCUUCAGAAUCCGAUUAUCGACGAGAGGAUCCGACAAUGGCAGAGUGGCGAAAGGAAAGUGAUGGAAGAUCUCACCGACGUUCUUAUUACCCUUAAGGACGAUGACGGAAAGCCUUUGCUCACCCCCGACGAGAUCAAGAACCAGACUGCAGUAAGCAUGCAUGCAUUUAUCUCCACAUGAUUUAAAAUAUUGGGCCAAAUUGUAUAGGAGUCCGUUCAAAUACGAAUGAUAAAGAGUGUGCAUGAAAACAUAAUGUUGUUGGUUGUCUGGUUGAUAAUGAGUGUGCAUGCAGAUAUACCUACGUAGGUUAUGAGUGGUCCAAGUUUUGACGACAUUUAUUACAGAAAAAGACACUCAAAAUUCGAAGGUUUUUCUUUUCUAAUAAUUUUUUUAAUAAAUGCAGGAAAUAAUGAUAGCAACGGUGGACAACCCGUCGAACGCGGUGGAGUGGGCAAUGGCGGAGCUGAUAAAACAGCCUAACCUCCUAGCAAAGGCGACCGCCGAAAUCGACCGAGUGGUCGGUAAAGAUAGGCUAGUCCAAGAAUCCGACAUCGGGAGCCUCAACUACGUCAAGGCAUGCGCCAGGGAAUCCUUCCGCCUCCACCCGAUGGCCCCCUUCAACGUCCCGCACGUGGCAAUGCAGGACACGGUCGUGGCAGGGUACUUCAUCCCCAAGGGCAGCCAGGCCCUACUGAGCCGACACGGGCUGGGCCGUAAUCCCAAGGUGUGGGCCGACCCUCUAAGGUACGACCCAGAGCGUCAUUUGAACGAUGGGGCUGAGGUUGUGCUGACCGAGCACGACCUCAGGUUCAUAUCAUUCAGCACAGGCCGUAGGGGUUGCGUGGCGGCGCUUCUGGGCACGUGCAUGACCACCAUGCUCUUGGCGAGGCUGCUCCAGUGCUUUUCGUGGGCCCCGCCUGGGAAUGCGAAGUCGAUUGAUUUGACGGAGCUGCCGGAUGAGCUCAUCAUGGCGUCGCCGCUGACGGCUGCCGCCACGCCGCGCUGCCGCUACGCCGCGUUUGGCUGCCCACUUCUACCCCAAGAUUACCAACUGAUCAUCCAUGGCCGGUGUUUUGAGAGAGAAAAAUAAUGGUGGUGUAAUUUUUAUCUCAAUUAUGCAUAUUGUGGGUUUUUGUUGUAUAAUUAUGUGUUUUAAUUAAGCAGAAAUGUGUUGUAAUUGGGAGCUAAGUGACUCCAAAAAAUGAUUGUUGUUUUGAUUAUAUAUAAUCGGUAAUGAUUAGUAUAUAAAGUAGUUAUAAUGAAAAAUCGUUCAGUUUGACAAUUUAAGUCUAAUUUUAAAACUAUUAUUUUAUUUGAUCAGAUUAUAAGUUUAACCCCAAUUAUUAAUGACAGUAUAAACGCAACUAAAUCCUUUUCCAAUUUGUUAUUGCAGGUAGGUUUUUGUAAACGGUUGGUGAACCUGGUUAGGAGAACCGGUUAUAUUAGGUUUUAAUAUUAACCGGUUUUCAAAAAAACCAACUGUGAAGUUUAAUUGGCAAGCUGUAAAACAAAUAAUUCAAAUGCACUACAGGCCACAACCCUGAUUGUGGGAGGGAUUGCAGAAGCUUGAGGAUUUUGUGGAAUUUUUUGUAGUGGAAUUUAGGUAAAAUGAUGCCGUAUUACCAUUUAUUAGUAGUGUGAGGAUGGUUAAGUAAUGGUAAUGGUUUGGAUAUUUCGAUAUUCAUCUUUGAAUUAUCACUUUGGAUUAUAUAGGCCGUCCUUUUCGUUAAUAUCGCAUCGCAAACCGGUCAGAAGGGAUUUUCAAGAUUGACCGGUUCCAGAUGCGGUCCAUUUUCCGGUUUUCAGAUCCGAGUGAAUGCUUGAUGUGCUGUAUUUUUGACACACUUAUUUUCGUUAUAAACUACAUUUUUAUGUGUCGAAAUGUAUUAAAAUUCGAGAUUUUGAAUACAUGUUUAGUUCUCUUGCCCAUCGGGGCCGUAUUACAUUGUUUGGGAUGUUUUUGAUGCAUUUCAGACGAUGUAAGGCGUUUGGGGACAAGUAGGAACUAAGACGAACGAUUUACGCAGUUCAGUGCGAAGAUUUGCUGAAAUAAGAGGGGAACAUGACGUGUCCUCUGGAACACAGCAUAUUCCUCAGGGACACGACCGUGUCCUUUUCUCUGGAAAGCAAUCCAAGAGCCUAUGUUGGGAAGAACACGCCCGUGUCCUACCGUCAGACGGGCUUUCGAGUUAUUUUCCAUCUCCAAUUUGGAAGAGACGAUAUAAAUAACUCGAGCAGCCCUUUUGACUAGACAAACUUUAUUCCAGACAUAUUUUCGACUUCUUAGAGAGAGAAAGAAUUCCAGAGAUUAAUUGAAGGGAUGGGAACAUCAACGAUUGGAGAUGGAGCGAAGAUCGGCGAUAAGACGGAGAUUUCUCGACGAAACAUGUUCUUCCCGGGUUAUUUUUCUUCCCUUCUUGUUUUCCAAACUAUGAGUAGCUAAAACUUUCGUGUUGUUUGGAUGAAAUGAAGCUUUAGUUUAGCUUUUUUUACGGAUGAUGGGGUUUUAACCCUUUGAUUUGUUAUUGAGGUUAUUCAGACUUAUGAUGUGUUCUUUCUAAACCAAAUUUUUAAUUCAAUUUCGUUUGAUCGUCUUAAUUGAAUCAUCAUCAUUGAUUUUUGGGUCCUAGAGGAACAUAGAUUGAUAAGUCGCUUAGGAAGAAAUCUAGAUUAUUCGUUAGCUUGAGAGAGGAACAAAUCGUUUAGGUUUUUUGCAUCAUUUAUCGUUGUGGAAUUUCAUCAAACACCCUUAGUGCGUUUUUCUUAGGUGUAGAUUAGGUUGAGAGAGGAGUCUACGGUUAGGCAGAAUAGAUCUUUAGAGGCUCGAGAGUGAUCUAAGACUAUCAUAGAAAAUUUCCAAGCCAUUAUAACCUGAGUAAUUGAGAUAACUUGUCGUUCAUCCAUGCAUUGCUAGUUUUAGUGGAUUCGAAUCCGAACAACCUUCAUUCCNNNNNNNNNNNNNNNNNNNNNNNNNNNNNNNNNNUAUUUGUACCUCAAUCUCUUGCAUUUGUUUUCUUUUGAUUUGCAUUCUUAGUUUAUAAUUGGUCACAUAAUAAUGAAACAAACAACCAUUCACUGUUACUUGAUUUAGUUAGCUUAAUCAAUUUGAGUAAUAGCGUUAGAAAGACCCUAAGGAAAUAAGAACUUCAUUAGUUCAUUCUAGUGGGUAUUUGAUAGCAGGGUCAAAUGCUUGAACAAUGGCGGAUACAAAGCGCCUAGUCCACGGUCCAGUCUAUUUUCAGAUAUAGAACUUCAAAAAUACAUAAUUUCCCUUAUAUAUAUAUAUAUAUAUGAUGAAUUCUUCAGUAUACCUGGUAUACCAAAAAUUUCGGUGUUGCCAACUUUUUUCUCGUAACGUAAAUAUAUACGGGUUAGGGCGUCUUGCACGGAAAUUGAUAACAAUAUUUAAACCACUUUUUGUAACCAUAGGCAUAUUUACUGGUGACACGAGGAAUAAUUGAUGACCAUAUAUUAUCUUAUCAAAACCAUAUAUAGCUUAUUGAUGUAUGUAUUUGGGUAAGAUCAGACUUUCGAUAGAUCAAUACAAAACAGAAAGGGAAAUAAAUAUUCAAAUAUAAUGAUGUCUGUUGAUAGAGUAUCGUAAUUUGAAUCCGAAAUCUCAAGAUCAUCAAUACAUAAACUUUAGUGCUAAAAUAAUUCACAACACACGUUCAAGAAAAAUCCAUUUAAUAUGGAAGAAUAAUUUAUAUGCAAUUACAUAACCAAUAUAAACACGCAGGAUAAAUUACAAUCCAACCCUAUGCCAUGUAUAGUCCGACCAGUCCGGUUUGAAACGAUUUGUACAAUUUUGAUACGAUUAUGUUUCACCCACGGCUCAACUAUGUAUACGUUAUAAUAACAAUCCAAACAAUCGAAUCACAAAUUGUUAGACUCAUUGAUUCGACAUUUUGAUAAGUUCGAAAAACCAUGGCUCCACAGUCUCAAAUGGCUAGCUAUAUAUUAUCAUGUAAGUUGUGUUUAGCGUUCCUUCCGUGCUAUCCAUUAAUUCCAUAUAUAUCCACAAGGUGACGAAAAAAGACAAAACAACUCUGGUCGGAUGAGCACUGUGAUGACAUGUUAUGCAUGCAAGGAAUAUCAAAUUAUUAUGGUAAAGAAUAAAUACGUACGAAAACCACUAUAUAUAAACAUAAUAAUCAGCAAGCAACCAAAGAAGUGUACGCCUGUAGCCCUAAGCCGACGUUAAAAACCAAACCACAACUGUCGAUCAGCUUAUAGCAAGAUCGAGCCAUGACCAUGAAAACCUCCGACGCUAGCCUAUCCACCACCGGCACAAUGACAUCUACCACCUCCAUCGCCCUCCUCCUCGCCCUUCUCGUUUCCUUCAUAAGCUAUCUCAACCUCAAAAAACGAUCCUCGAUGGGUGCUGAUGAUCACGACGCCUCAGGAGGAAGAGCAGGUAGGCUUAUUGCAGCCAAGAAGAUCAAGCCGGUGCUACCUCCAAGCCCACCAUCGUGGCCGGUGAUCGGGAACAUUCCAGAGCUUAUCACGAAAAAGCCGUGGUUCCGGUGGGUGCACCAGUUGAUGAAGGAGAUGAACACAGACAUCUGCAUGAUCCGCCUGGGCAGGUUCAACCUAAUACCCGUAUUGGACCCUGCCAUUGCUAGGGAGUUCCUGAAGAAGCAGGACGCCAUCUUCGCGGACCGACCCCACCAGGUGGGCAGCCAUGCCAUGAGCGGAGGCUACAUGACCACGAUAGCCACGCCUUACAACGACCAGUGGCGCAAGAUGAGGAAGGUGAUGACCUCAGAGAUCGUCUCCCCGGCCCGUCUCAAGUGGCUCCACCAGAAGCGUGUCGAGGAGGCCGAUAACCUGGUGUUCUACGUCCACAACCUCAGCAGGGCUGGCAAGAGCGUCGACCUGAGGGUGGCCACCCAACAUUACUGCGGGAACGUGAUAAGGAAGAUGAUGUUCAGCAGGAGGUUCUUCGGCGAGCAAACCCUCGACGGUGGGCCCGGUCCUAAGGAGGUCGAGCACGUGAAAGCGAUAUUCCUCGCGUUGAAGUACGUGUAUUCGUUCUGCUUGUCG
rnacentral:lncRNA from 1 species